UAGGGAAUCUUCGGCAAUGGACGAAAGUCUGACCGAGCAACGCCGCGUGAGUGAAGAAGGUUUUCGGAUCGUAAAACUCUGUUGUUAGAGAAGAACAAGGACGUUAGUAACUGAACGUCCCCUGACGGUAUCUAACCAGAAAGCCACGGCUAACUACGUGCCAGCAGCCGCGGUAAUACGUAGGUGGCAAGCGUUGUCCGGAUUUAUCGGGCGUAAAGCGAGCGCAGGCGGUUUCUUAAGUCUGAUGUGAAAGCCCCCGGCUCAACCGGGGAGGGUCAUUGGAAACUGGGAGACUUGAGUGCAGAAGAGGAGAGUGGAAUUCCAUGUGUAGCGGUGAAAUGCGUAGAUAUAUGGAGGAACACCAGUGGCGAAGGCGGCUCUCUGGUCUGUAACUGACGCUGAGGCGCGAAAGCGUGGGGAGCAAACAGG
rnacentral:rRNA from 1 species